GGGGCUGCAAUGGUUUCGACGGGGCAUGAGGAGGGUGACUGAAGCCUGCUCGGUGAGAGCAAACCCGUAACUGCGAACAACAUCGUUCGUUUCUCCCGUCAAGCAGCCCCUGUUGCUGCCUGACCCUUUAAGGGAGAUGGGGUGAGGUCAGCCUUAUCACCCAAAUGACUCAUGGGGGCUGGAAGGCCCCCUCAACU
rnacentral:tmRNA from 1 species